rnacentral:rRNA from 1 species
GANUCUGCCCUGUAGUGGGGGACAACGUGGGGAAACCCACGCUAAUACCGCAUACGCCCCAAGGGGGAAAGCGGGGGACCGCAAGGCCUCGCGCUAUAGGAUGAGCCUGCGUUGGAUUAGCUAGUUGGUAGGGUAAAGGCCUACCAAGGCGACGAUCCAUAGCUGGUCUGAGAGGACGAUCAGCCACACUGGGACUGAGACACGGCCCAGACUCCUACGGGAGGCAGCAGUGGGGAAUAUUGGACAAUGGGCGCAAGCCUGAUCCAGCAAUACCGCGUGUGUGAAGAAGGCCUGAGGGUUGUAAAGCACUUUCAAUGGGGAGGAAAAAGGUAGGUUUAAUACGUCUGCCCUUGACAUUACCCAUAGAAGAAGCACCGGCUAACUCCGUGCCAGCAGCCGCGGUAAUACGGAGGGUGCGAGCGUUAAUCGGAAUUACUGGGCGUAAAGCGUGCGUANGCGGCCCGUUAAGUCAGAUGUGAAAGCCCUGGGCUCAACCUGGGAACUGCAUUUGAAACUGGCGGGCUAGAGUUAGGUAGAGGGGGGCGGAAAUUUCAGGUGUAGCGGUGAAAUGCGUAGAUAUCUGAANNGAACACCAGUGGCGAAGGCGGCUCCCUGGACCCAAAACUGACGCUGAGGUACGAAAGCGUGGGUAGCAAACAGGNAUUAGAUACCCUGGUAGUCCACGCCGU